rnacentral:lncRNA from 1 species
GUACUCUUAAUAUAAAUACGAAUUUUAAAAGUUUAGUACAAUCCAAUAAAAACUUUCUUACAGAAAAGUAAAAGUCAUAUAGAAAUUUUUUAGUUUAUUUAAAAACUUAAUUAUUACAUAAAGUCAAGAUACUUAUUUUUUUAUUAACACAAAGCUUGAGCCCAUCAUAAAAUCCCAAGGUCGGUUAUGCCCAUAUGCACUUCGUCUUGGUUAGGAUUUGGCGCCAGCUUGCCCUACUCAUCGUUACCUGCAAUGUAAAGACCUAGUGAGCAUGUAUAAAUUAUGAUGCAUAUGAAUGACCAUUCUUAAAAUAAACUUAGAAAAUACAAAACAACUUUAUUUGGGCCCUAGGUACAUUGCACUACAAGGCUGGCACUUUUACUCUUUAAACAUUAUUCCUUUAGGCCUCAUUAGUUGAACUUUUGGGCGUUACGUAUCGCUGUCCCCAAAAGAUUUCUUACAACUUAGCUUUGAGGGCUUGCCCUCCUUAGAACUUUGCCAUUUAAUAGUACAACCACCUAUUUUUAAUAAAUUCAUUUUCUGAAAUGUCUUUUUCAUAAUGUAGUUCAUGAUAUGAAUACAUCCAAUGCAACUUAUAACCUCGAUGCAUAACAAAAUCAACAUACAACAUUAUUUAAAGACAAGAGUCUUUAGUAUAGGCAGUAUAGUCAACCAUAGCAUAAUUAAGUAUAAAUAUCACAUAUUAGGCGGCAGAGCCGACCAUAUCAUCACAUAUUAGGCGGCAGAGCCGACCAUAGCAUCACAUAUUAGGCGGCAGGGCCGACCAUAUAAAGAUUUAUAAUAUAACUAAUCACACUCUAACAACCAUCAUAAUAUAAAGGGAUUAUGAAAACUGAUCUUAAGUAUAAAAGUAAUUUUUUCCUUAAAUUGCAGUUGAAGUGUUACUUACCUCCUGAUCUUGAUUUCUCUAGACCUUUCUAAAUUAAAUAUUUCUCUACUCUUGUUAUUAUGACUUAGAAUGGAAGAGAAUGAAAUUU